rnacentral:rRNA from 1 species
UUGAACGCUGGCGGCAUGAUUUACACAUGCAAGUCGAACGGUAACAGGCCGCAAGGUGCUGACGAGUGGCGAACGGGUGAGUAAUGCAUCGGAACGUGCCCAGUCGUGGGGGAUAACUACUCGAAAGAGUAGCUAAUACCGCAUACGAUCUAUGGAUGAAAGCGGGGGACCGUAAGGCCUCGCGCGAUUGGAGCGGCCGAUGUCAGAUUAGGUAGUUGGUGGGGUAAAGGCUCACCAAGCCAACGAUCUGUAGCUGGUCUGAGAGGACGACCAGCCACACUGGGACUGAGGCACGGCCCAGACUCCUACGGGAGGCAGCAGUGGGGAAUUUUGGACAAUGGGCGCAAGCCUGAUCCAGCAAUGCCGCGUGCAGGAAGAAGGCCUUCGGGUUGUAAACUGCUUUUGUACGGAACGAAACGGCUCUGGUUAAUACCCGGGGCUAAUGACGGUACCGUAAGAAUAAGCACCGGCUAACUACGUG